UACGGAGGGGGCUAGCGUUGUUCGGAAUUACUGGGCGUAAAGCGCACGUAGGCGGCUUUGUAAGUUAGAGGUGAAAGCCCGGGGCUCAACCCCGGAAUUGCCUUUAAGACUGCAUCGCUAGAAUUGUGGAGAGGUAAGUGGAAUUCCGAGUGUAGAGGUGAAAUUCGUAGAUAUUCGGAAGAACACCAGUGGCGAAGGCGACUUACUGGACACAUAUUGACGCUGAGGUGCGAAAGCGUGGGGAUCAAACAGG
rnacentral:rRNA from 1 species